rnacentral:misc_RNA from 1 species
GAUGAAGAACGGAGCGAAAUGCGAUAAGUAAUGUGAAUUGCAGAAUUCAGUGAAUCAUCGAAUCUUUGAACGCACAUUGCGCCCGCUGGUAUUCCGGCGGGCAUGCCUGUUCGAGCGUCAUUGCAACCCUCAAGCGCGGCUUGUGUGUUGGGCUUCGUCCCCCCGUGGACGUGCCCGAAAGGCAGUGGCGGCGUCCCGAAUGGUGCCCGAGCGUAUGGGAACUCUCUUCCGCUCGAACCGGCCCAUUCGGCGCUGGUCGAACCCCAAUUUUUUUUUACCGGUUGACCUCGGAUCAGGUAGGGAUACCCGCUGAACUUAAGCAUAUCAAUAAGCGGAGGA